GUGAAAUCCCCGAGCUUAACUUGGGAAUUGCAUUGGAGACUGCACGGCUAGAGUGUGGCAGAGGGGGGUAGAAUUCCACGUGUAGCGGUGAAAUGCGUAGAGAUGUGGAGGAAUACCGAUGGCGAAGGCGGCCCCCUGGAAUAANAUUGACGCUCAUGUGCGAAAGCGUGGGGAGCAAACAGGAUUAGAUACCCUGGUAGUCCACGCCGUAAACGAUGUCNGCUAGUUGUUGGGGAUUCAUUUCCUUGNUAACNNNNNUANCGCGUGAAGUUGACCCGCUGGGGGAGUACGGCCGNAGAGUAANNACUCANNGAAUUGACGGGGACCCGCACCAGCGGGGGAAGAUGGUGAUUAAUUUCAUGCCACCCGAAAAAACCUUACUACCUUUGACCNUCCACUAACCUANCAAAAGUGAAUUAGGUGCUCNAAAGANNUNUGNACACAGUGUGC
rnacentral:rRNA from 1 species